CGCUCCUCGAUACCUUUAUAAUGGGGAGUACUGCCUGCCCAAUGAAAGAAAUAUUUAAAUGGCCGCGUUAUUCUGAGCGUGCUAAGGUAGCGUAAUAAUUAGCCUCUUAAUUGGAGGCCAGUGAAAGGCAAGACGAGGGUAGAACUAUCUCAAGCUAUGUUGGUAAAAAUUUUACUCCCAGUGAAAAUUCUGGGAUAAUAGAGAAAGACGAAAAGACCCCGUGGAGCUUUAUUCUCACCAGCUUAUUUAGUAUUGAAACUUAUAAUUAAGCUAAGAAUUUGGUUGGGGCAACCGCGGAGCAAUUAAAACCUCCGUUAUCUAGCAUCAAUUAUUCAUCCUAAAUCUAGAAAAAAUGUCAGCUACCCCGGGGAUAACAGCGUAAUCCAACUUUAGAGCUCUUAUCGAAAGUUGGGCUUGCGACCUCGAUGUUGGACCAGGGAUACUGUGAGGUGCAGAAGCUUCUCAAGUCAGUCUGUUCGACUGUUAAACCCCUACA
rnacentral:rRNA from 1 species